CCGCGCGGAAGGAAUUGGAUGAAGCUGAAAGAACAGUUCUGAGUUUUGGGAUUGAAGAUUGCAGAAGAGGUAAUGUUUCCUGCUUGUUUUCGAUUUAUGAACCUUUUGUUUUCAAGUGUAUGGAGAAUCGAACACGAAUCAUCAUGAAAACGCGUUUCUAAUGGUCACGGGUAUAAAGCAAAGCUAUAGAUUGGAUUGGUGGUUGUUUUUCUUGUUAAUUUGCUUUCAUAAUUUCCAUUAACUGUGAAAAUUCACUUCGUAAAAGCGAAAUGUUGAUCAUGUCGAGCUUGUAUACCAUUCCAACAAAUAGCUGGAAAGCUCAUAAACUGCUGAGGUUCAGCCUUAUACGCCGAUCAUUGACAAUGGACCAUUGCCAGGGGUUAUAAUUACAAACGGGUGCAAGAAAAAUAUGAAGCUGAAAAUUAAUAAAAGAAUGUAGAACCUACAGUGGUGAGCAACGGAUAAUUAAAGAGCCCACUUAUCGCUUCUACAGUGGACAAAUCAACACCUCCCCAUACUAAAGAACCAACUUCAUCAUUCUCGAGUUGUUCCCCUUGUAAGUAAACAAUGUUCGGUUUAUACGAUUCAAGAGUCCUACAAAACUGAUCUUUACUAGGAUUUGACAAAACCUGGACCUGCAAAAAUAGUCCAGAAAGAUAAUUACCACACAGUAGAGUAUUAACAGGGUAAUUGAAGAAACAUAUAGUUACACAUUAAUCAUAUAGAAGUAAACAAAAAAAAAAAUCGCACCUCCAAACGCCCAGAAGAAUUUAAUUGUGGAAAGGGAUAUCUCUGUUGAUCCUCUGGAUUAUCCUUCUUAGAUUUAUCUUCAGGAAUACUCCCAGAAGGGAUUGCAAGAAGCCUACAAGUAUAUCUAGCAGGAACUUGAGAAUGAAAAACCAUUGCAGUUAUAUAAGAGCAAUGGAGCCUCUUUACCAAUGUAUUCUCUCCAGCUUCUUACAGGAGAGUUCAAAUCCAAAACUUCCAGUGAGUUUAAAAUUCUUGACUCCAGCAUCAACUCAUAAUUUUAAAGCCACAGUCUCCCAAAGAGUUGACUGAAACCUAAUGCUAGCUCUAGAGUAGCUAUAUCUCAAACACAAAAAGCUUAGAAACUUCUAACCACAAAUAGGAAACUCCUUAAAAAAUAUGAUCACACAAUUCAACAGACACACCCAGAGAGAACUUGGUCGUUUUGAAAGGAAAGAAGAAUGGAUCAAAGGAGGAAAAAAAAAAAAGGACAACAAGUCUGCUUCUGCCGAUGGGCUCCGAAUGCGAUAAGAGCCCUCGGAAUUCAACCUUCAAGAGUUCAAAAUUGAGAAGAGAACAUGCAAAAUCUUAGAAAAUAACUAAUGGCAAAAGAAAAAAAAAAUUAAGGAAGAACCUAGAAGACGUAAUUAGGCGAACUCACCGACUGGAGAAAGGAAGAUCGAGCAGCGAAUGGAAAAAAUUAGGAAAAUCGAAAACCCUAAGUAGUCCGUAGCUUUAAAGAUCAACAUUCGAGUCCACCAAAGAGGCGAAUCCUUUACGCCCUUAAAUUCAUAUCUUUAAAAAUUUUACAAUCCAAAAAAUAAUUAGAAACUAAAAGGAGUUAUCUCCCAAUAUAUUUCACGGAAAACACAAAUUCAAAACGCUCAGAGUCACCAGAAUUAUUAAAAAAAUAAUUCCCAUCUAUUGAUUAGUGGGUGUCAGAUAAAAUACAUCCAAUUCCGGAAUUUCCAAGUUGAGGUCAAACACUGCAAAUAAACGCGAAAUUUUGAUGGGAAAAUACACACACCCAACAUGAGGGAUUAAUUAAAGGCCCUUUGAUGAACUGAUUGAUAAAGUAAGAAAGCUAAUUCCCAAAACCCCAAAAAGAAAAAAAUAUAUAUAUAAAUUAAAAUUUAAUAAAAGGAAAAGACCGUAGUGUGUAUUUGAAAAGUACCUUACGUUGAUUAAAACAAGUAACUGAUUUCUUUACUUUUCCUAAAGAAUUUUGAACAAACCAAUCGUACGGUCUAACCCACGAGGCCAAGAAUUUCGACCACUGCUCUUAAGAUUCCAAUUUAUGAACCACCCACCAUUUUCUUGCUCCAAGGUACUCAAUCCAAGGAUGAACAUCCUAUUUGCUUUCUUCUUUCUAUCCGUGAUUCUGCUCUUAUUUCAAGCUGGUUUUCUGUAAAGAAAUGACGCACAAGCACCGUCGUUCUUUCUGCUUUGCAAGGUCUUGAAGCAUAACAGAAUUAAAGCAGUUGGUAAGCUCAUGCAUGGACUGAUUCAAAUACGCCAAGAUUUCUUCAAAUUCAUAUGUAUUAAACAGCUUGCAUAAAGUUGGUCUGUCACUUCCGAGUUUGCAGAAAAGUAGCAGCCUAAGACACAUUUGUGCCAACGGGUACUUCGAAGUUAGAAUUUAGGGUAGAGCAUAAAAACAUUUCCCCCCAAUCAUUUUACUUAAAAAAUUGUUAGCUUUUAUAAACAGACAUAAGUUCUCACAUAUACAUGAGAUCAUGACCCACAUAAAGAACCACAUCGAGGUGGGAAUAAAUCCUGUGGAAUUAACGACUUCAAAAUCUGAGAUUGAGGUUGGACAAUUCAACUUUUCGGAGGAACCAGAUGAGAAUGCCCUAAGUUACUUCAGAGGAAAUCCAGACGAGGUUAUUGAAAACUUAAGAACAUUGUUUUAUAUUUAUAAUCAUUCAAGAAGUUUCAGUCAACCCCUCCAUAGCUUACCUUUUCCCUAACUUAAAUGUUAUACACUAAACCGUUUCAGCUAAAAACCCGAAAGCUUUCUAAGAUAAUUUUUUCUUGUUUUAACCUUAUGAGUGAAAGGAAAAGACACUCUCUAGUGAUUCUAUUUCAUCUUUUAAUCGUUUUAUGGAACGUGUUAUGUCUACUACUUUUUCUUAUUCUGGGUGUAAAACAAAACAUCAUUAAGCUCAUUUUAGCUCAUCUUUUUUAGUUAAAUAAAACAUCAUUACGCUCAUUUUAGCUCAUCUUCUUUAGUUAAACAAAACAUCAUUAAGCUCGUUUUAGCUCAUCUAUUUUAGUUAAACAAAACAUCAUUACGCUCAUUUUAGCUCAUCCUUUUUAGUUAGCAUUUGGGGUUCUCUCCUGAUUUAGUAUAUAUAUGAUACGUUUCUUUUGGACUUUUACCCGGGGAAAAAAAAACAACAGAAGUAACCCAAACUGGGAACUUUCAGACCAUGGUUUCUUUACUUGUAACUUAUGGAGUCAUUUGACUUGCACUCUUUUAUAUCAAUAAACAUUCUGGCAGAUCAAACCAGGGAACAGAAUGGUGAUAUUCAGUGUAGUUUUUACAAUUCAAUUAUAAUUUAUACUGACACGUUAUUUGGUUUCUUUUGAGGAAGUUAUGAGAGAAGAAGGUCCUGAAUGAACAAUUAUACACUCUGUCAGUGUAAAUUACCCGUAUCUAGGUUCGAACUACUCAAUAAUAGAGUGCCAGAUAUUUUGAGGAUAACGUUAGUACAUUAUCCAUAACAAGUGUCUCUUUAGCCUUGCAUCAUUAUCGCACACACAAAGAAAGGUAAUACGAUAGUACUACUCUUAACCAAAAAUCGAAGAGUUCUCAUAGAGCUACAAAAUUUACAGCCUUUAUCCCCUCCUUGAUACAACAUCAAUCCAGCAACGGAUUGAAAACAACUAAGAUCUAACUAACUUCCUUUUUCUCCUUUUAUUUCUUCUUAUCCAUUUUAGUUACACUGUUUCCAUUUGCAGUAGAUUGGAAAAAAGAGGAGAAUCAACUAUGAAACAACUGGUCGAAUUCUCGAAUGAGGAAGCCGGUUAUGUUGCCGGAGAUCUUCUAAGAGGAGACGUGUUUCAGUUCUUGGUUCAUUUUUAAGACAUUGUCUGUAAGCAGCCACCAUUUUUCUAGUGGAAGCUUCUAAUUCUCUCUUAUCGUCAAUAUCAAUCUGUUGAUUUCGACACUUUAUGCUGCAAUAACCUUGAUCACCCCUGUUUCACAGGACAACCAAAAAAAUAUCAGCAACAAAAACUCAACUACAAAUCGAGAAACAACUUCUUCCAAGCAAAAAAGAAAAAGGUAAAUCCUUAUCCAAAUUCCAUGAUCUUGAACUACAGGCAAAAUCCAAGGAUUUAAUUAGAAGAUCAUAUCCUGGUAAUACUAAAAAUUAAGUUAGAACAAGUUUAAUUAGUACCUGUACAUGUAAAUAUCUUCUUGAGGGUCCAGAUUCUUGUUGCAUAGAGAGCAUGUUUUGAGAAAAGAUGGGUUAUUAUUAGAACUAGAAACAAGUGAAGGAGACAAUUUUCUGGAUUGUUUAACCACUAGAUUUGGUUCUGGUGAUCGAUGUACAAGAAUUCCUAACCCAACACCCUUCAGAUAACUACUGGAAUUAUCAUUUCUCUCCUUCCUCUUGAAA